UAAGGAAUAUUGGUCAAUGGGCGGAAGCCUGAACCAGCCAUGCCGCGUGCAGGAUGACUGCCCUAUGGGUUGUAAACUGCUUUUGUCCAGGAAUAAACCUAGAUACGUGUAUCUAGCUGAAUGUACUGGAAGAAUAAGGAUCGGCUAACUCCGUGCCAGCAGCCGCGGUAAUACGGAGGAUCCGAGCGUUAUCCGGAUUUAUGGUUAAGGGUUAGGCGUGAUAGGCGGCCUAUUAAGUCAGGGGUGAAAUACGGUGGCUCAACCAUCGCAGUGCCUUUGAUACUGAUGGGCUUGAAUCCAUUUGAAGUGGGCGGAAUAAGACAAGUAGCGGUGAAAUGCAUAGAUAUGUCUUAGAACUCCGAUUGCGAAGGCAGCUCACUAAGCUGGUAUUGACGCUGAUGCACGAAAGCGUGGGGAUCGAACAGGAUUAGAUACCCUGGUAGUCCACGCCCUAAACGAUGAUAACUCGAUGUUGGCGAUAGACAGCCAGCGUCCAAGCGAAAGCGUUAAGUUAUCCACCUGGGGGAGUACGCCCCGCAAGGGUGAAACUCAAAUGAAUUGACGGGGUCAUAGCUGUUUCCU
rnacentral:rRNA from 1 species